rnacentral:rRNA from 1 species
AUUGAACGCUGGCGGCAUGCCUAACACAUGCAAGUCGAACGGUAACAGGCCCGCAAGGGUGCUGACGAGUGGCAGACGGGUGAGUAAUACGUAGGAAUCUGCCCUGUAGUGGGGGAUAGCCCGGCGAAAGCCGGACUAAUACCGCAUACGCUCUACGGAGGAAAGCGGGGGAUCGCAAGACCUCGCGCUAUUGGAUGAGCCUACGUCUGAUUAGCUAGUUGGUAGGGUAACGGCCUACCAAGGCGACGAUCAGUAGCUGGUCUGAGAGGAUGAUCAGCCACACCGGAACUGAGACACGGUCCGGACUCCUACGGGAGGCAGCAGUGGGGAAUAUUGGACAAUGGGGGAAACUCUGAUCCAGCAAUGCCGCGUGUGUGAAGAAGGCCUGCGGGUUGUAAAGCACUUUUGUUGGGGAAGAAAAGCCGUCGGCGAAUAUCCGGCGGUCUUGACGGUACCCAAAGAAUAGGCACCGGCUAACUCCGUGCCAGCAGCCGCGGUAAUAC